rnacentral:rRNA from 1 species
UACGAAGGGGGCUAGCGUUGCUCGGAAUCACUGGGCGUAAAGCGCACGUAGGCGGCUUUUUAAGUCAGGGGUGAAAUCCUGGAGCUCAACUCCAGAACUGCCUUUGAUACUGGGAAGCUUGAGUCCGGAAGAGGUGAGUGGAACUCCGAGUGUAGAGGUGAAAUUCGUAGAUAUUCGGAAGAACACCAGUGGCGAAGGCGGCUCACUGGUCCGGUACUGACGCUGAGGUGCGAAAGCGUGGGGAGCAAACAGG